GGGUGAGUAACACGUUGAUAACCUACCUAUAAGACUGGGAUAACUUCGGGAAACCGGAGCUAAUACCGGAUAAUAUAUUGAACCGCAUGGUUCAAUAGUGAAAGACGGUUUUGCUGUCACUUAUAGAUGGAUCCGCGCCGCAUUAGCUAGUUGGUAAGGUAACGGCUUACCAAGGCAACGAUGCGUAGCCGACCUGAGAGGGUGAUCGGCCACACUGGAACUGAGACACGGUCCAG
rnacentral:rRNA from 1 species